AUUGAACGCUGGCGGCAGGCUUAACACAUGCAAGUCGAGCGAGUGGCGGACGGGUGUGUAAUGUAUGGGAAUCUGCCUUAUGGCGGGGGAUAACUUCGGGAAACUGUAGCUCAUACCGUAUACUAUACGUUGCGCCCAUGUGGGAUUAGGUGGUAGGUGAGGUAAAGGCUCCCCAAGGCGACGAUCCCUAGCUGGUCUGAGAGGAUGACCGGCCACACUGGGACUGAGACACGGCCCAGACUCCUACGUGAGGCAGCAGUGGGGAAUAUUGCGCAAUGGGCGCAACCCUGACGCAGCCAUGCCGCGUGGAUGAAGAAGGCCUUCGGGUUGUAAAGUUCUUUCGGUCGCGAGGCGUUAACUACAGAAGAAGCACCGGCUAACUCCGUGCCAGCAGCCGCGGUAAUAC
rnacentral:rRNA from 1 species